UGAGUAGGAUAAAUGAUCGCGGCCGGUUCCUUCGGAAACCGGGUGAGGAAAGUCCGGGCUUCAUAGGGCAGGAUGCCGGAUAACGUCCGGUGGAGGUGACUCCCAGGAAAGUGCAACAGAAAUAUACCGCCACGCAAGUGGUAAGGGUGGAAGGGCAGUGUAAGAGACUACCGCCUGGCUGGUAACAGGCAGGGCACAUGUAAACCCCAUUCGAAGCAAGACCAAUAGAAAGCAUAAGGCGGCCCGUCUGCUUUCGGGUAGGUCGCUUGAGCCUGGUGGUAACAUCAGGCCUAGAUAGAUGAUCAUUCUCGACAUAACCCGGCUUAUCGUCCUACUCAUUUA
rnacentral:RNase_P_RNA from 1 species